rnacentral:rRNA from 1 species
ACGCGCCGAACCUUACCAGGUCUUGACAUCCUCUGACACUCCUAGAGAUAGGACGUUCCCCUUCGGGGGACAGAGUGACAGGUGGUGCAUGGUUGUCGUCAGCUCGUGUCGUGAGAUGUUGGGUUAAGUCCCGCAACGAGCGCAACCCUUGACCUUAGUUGCCAGCAUUUAGUUGGGCACUCUAAGGUGACUGCCGGUGACAAACCGGAGGAAGGUGGGGAUGACGUCAAAUCAUCAUGCCCCUUAUGACCUGGGCUACACACGUGCUACAAUGGACGGUACAAACGGUUGCCAACCCGCGAGGGGGAGCUAAUCCGAUAAAACCGUUCUCAGUUCGGAUUGUAGGCUGCAACUCGCCUACAUGAAGCCGGAAUCGCUAGUAAUCGCGGAUCAGCAUGCCGCGGUGAAUACGUUCCCGGGCCUUGCACACACCGCCCGU